GUAUUCCUAGCCAGUGGUUAUCAAAAAGAGAGCUCAGAAAGAAAACCUGAAAAUCUGCACUUAAUGGGUACUAGGUGUGUGCUCCUUCUGCAGGUCACCAGGGACACAGAGAAGCACUAGACCCAGCAUUGUAAAGGCAAACCUUGUAACUGAGAUAAUGGAAUGAAAAGCACAGAAGUUCAGAGACAACACGUCUAGUCUUGGCAAUGCCCAGGAGUGUUCUACAUCUGAGCUUUGGCGAGUUGGAAGUUAUGAGAUGCACUCCCAUAUGGGCAAGCAGUAAGAAGAGAGGAUGAUGUCUUUGUGCUCUUCUUGUCCCUCUUAUGAUGACAGGAGAAAGAUAUUAACUUGUGUGAAAUGGUGGCUUCCAGCAGAAGGUUUUACAUCCUGCCUAAUAAAGAAGGCCCAUCAAUGCCAGACAAACGAUUGUGGAACCUUAAAGAGGAAAAAAGACUUCACUGAUUUGCUCUUUCCUCUCUCCUGAGAUGAAUCUUGCAAGUGAAUUCCUCCCAUCAGGUGAGAAGCACAAAGGGGGAAUGAGAUAAACACCCCAAAAGGAAGAAACUGUAUCUCUAUGCAGCUUGGGUUCUUGAGGGCAAGGUUUUCUAGGCAUAAGCAAGAGAGCACCAGUGUUUAGCUUGGGUUAUUCCUAAGGGACAUAUAGAGCUUGCUUAUUAUAUUAUACAUUUUAUUAUACUAUAUUAUUUGUGUGUAUUUGUAUCUGCUUUAGCCUUGUAAAUAACACUUAUUUCCUUUUCCUAGUUAAAUCUUUAAAUAGUUUAUUAUAGGAUUGCCUACCAGCAUUGUCUUUGGUGUGAGAUUUAAGGUGCAAUUGACCUGGGGUAAGUGACCAGUCCUUUGGGACUGGGAGUAACCUGAAUAUUUCUGUGAUUUUUUUGUGUGUGUGUUCAGGGACCAUCUAUCACAAAGGCAAGCUUCUCUAGGUGACAAGAUAAAUUGGAGCUCCAAGGUUACUGUCAGUGACUCCAUGGUUAGGCUGUUAGAGUGCCUGAGGAGUUUACACUUGAUACUUGGUUGGUGAAAUCUAAGUGUAGAACUCACAAGAAAUUUGGGGUUUGUGCCUUGCCUCUUAACAGUCUGCCCUGAGGCUGGUACUCACGCUUUUAAGCCACUACAGGACAGAUUGACAGUCACAUCUUCAGAAAGAUGCAACACCAAAAAAGAGGAGCAAGUGGUCUUUGGUUUUAUAAAUUCUCUGCACAGCUUUUCUCAGCCUUCAGAUCCAGGAGUUUUCUCUUCAGUCUUUGAGCCUUGAACUGUUCUGCAGUGCUUGUGACAUUUAAGGAUUGAUGCCUGAGAUUAGAAAAUAUACUCCUUCCACUGUAUUUUAUAUUAAUAAUAAAUAAAAAUACUAUAUUAAUGAUGGUAAUUGUGAGGCAACCUGACUUAAAAUUUGAUUGCCUUCACUUUUCACUAUGAUCAGUAAGACUGGAAGUUAAUUUAAAUAGUAUGUAUUAUUCAAAGCAUGUCUUUUAAACAUCUGACGGUAUCAUUAAUAUACAUGUACAGGGCAAUUUCAGAGACACAUGUUUGAUGUGGAAGGAUUCUGAAUGUGUAUUGAGUAAUGAUUCUUUCUUUUGUGAAGUUGUAAUUAACUUAUUAAAAAUCCAUCCUUCAACACAUAAAAAUACUUAC